rnacentral:rRNA from 1 species
CACGAACGCUGGCGGCAGGCUUAACACAUGCAAGUCGAGCGCCCCGCAAGGGGAGCGGCAGACGGGUGAGUAACGCGUGGGAAUCUACCCAUCUCUACGGAAUAACGCAUGGAAACGUGUGCUAAUACCGUAUACGUCCUUCGGGAGAAGGAUUUAUCGGAGAUGGAUGAGCCCGCGUUGGAUUAGCUAGUUGGUGGGGUAAAGGCCUACCAAGGCGACGAUCCAUAGCUGGUCUGAGAGGAUGAUCAGCCACACUGGGACUGAGACACGGCCCAGACUCCUACGGGAGGCAGCAGUGGGGAAUAUUGGACAAUGGGCGCAAGCCUGAUCCAGCCAUGCCGCGUGAGUGAUGAAGGCCCUAGGGUUGUAAAGCUCUUUCACCGGUGAAGAUAAUGACGGUAACCGGAGAAGAAGCCCCGGCUAACUUCGUGCUAGCCGCCGCGGUAACAC